CCUGCCCAAGAGAUCGGGAUAACACCUGGAAACAGAUGCUAAUACCGGAUAACAACAGAUGAUGCCUAUCAACUGUUUAAAAGAUGGCUCUGCUAUCACUCUUGGAUGGACCUGCGGUGCAUUAGCUAGUUGGUAGGGUAACGGCCUACCAAGGCGAUGAUGCAUAGCCGAGUUGAGAGACUGAUCGGCCACAUUGGGACUGAGACACGGCCCAAACUCCUACGGGAGGCAGCAGCC
rnacentral:rRNA from 1 species